AGUUCAUAACGAUUAGGUGAAAUUCACUUAUAUUCUAGCAUCAAAUUCAUGCAUGUAAAUUAAGUAUGCAUCCUUAAUCGACAUACAAAAAUAAGUUAUCAAUCAAGCAGUUAAGCAAAUUAAAUCACAACUCAGAAAUCACAACUGAAGGUAAUCAAUUCAUAUUACAUAUAUAUUCAUGGCUUUGAAUUAACCUCUAGCCAAAAUAAAUUUAAUUACACAUUAUUAAAACAAAAAUAAAAUAGAAGUUUGGAAAGAUUAAACCGAAAGGGGAUGAUCUGCUGCGUUCGUGCCCUCCUUAUUCUUGCUGUCCCGUACUGACUCUGACCUCCUUCUUUCCCGCAGCUCCUCGCAAGUCUUCACUCUGUCCAUCCUCCCCAUUCUCAUGCUGCCAAAUGGCAGCUUUCCUCUUGCUGACCUCUCUCGCCUGCCUUCCCUUCUUGCGUACUGACCUCUCGCCUAUGCUGCCUUUUUUCCUGUGCACUCACGCUGCCCUCUCACUGUCUUCUUCUGUCCUGCCUUCUGACCCGCUGUCUUCUUAUGUCCUGCCUUCUGACCUCGCUGCCAAAGGGCAGCCUUAUUCCGCGUCUCUUGCUUCUCUGUUCUAGUUUUCUGCUGCCGCAAGGCAGCUCUCCCCCCUUCCUUUCCGCGUUUCUUCUUCUUUUUAUAUUUUUCUUGUCAGUCAGUCCAUUCUGCUCCUUUAUGCCGUGUCCAUCCACUGCCCUCUCUUCUUCUUUUCUUUCUGUCCGCACUCAGUCCCGCACUACCUCUUUCAUUUUAUAUUUUUCUUUCUUUCCCAGCUGCUGUCCACUUCCUCCCGUACUGUCUUCCACUUCUCUCCCCGUGCUCCCUUCUGAUAUACGUUGGGGCUCCCACAAAGGCAUUCAGCCUAAAGCCCCAGAAAAGCCAUCUGUAUCCUUGAUAAACUGAAGAACAAGUGGAUGUUUUUUUUAUUCUGUAAUAAUGUUCUUUAUCUCGGUCCCUUUGGGUUAAUUGAAAUGAUGACUAUAACAGUAUAAUGUAUUAACACAUUAUGUCUUUACCCUUUCUCUUAUAUUCCCUUUUUUUUUAUUCUUCUCCAUCACUCUUUUGCUUUCCCGUACUCACCCCACCAUGCUAUCUUCUUUCUAUUUUUUAUUUUUAUUUUUUUUUCUUUUCUUUAUUCCUUUUGUCUUCUUUGUCUGCCAGUCUAUUUUCCACAUCCUGCUGCUUUUGUUUUUCUUUUCUGUUUAUUAUUUAAAACUCAUUUGUGCUAUUUUUAUUUUCUUUGCAUAACAAAUUCUAUAAACACAAAAAUAACGUAAAUAGCUCAAAAUAUAAAGAACUAACUAAUAAAAGACGAGUGAAUUCGAAGUAAAAAUAUAUAUAAAUAUGAUCCGAUCAAAUACCCCCACACUUAGCUUUUGCUAGUCCUCGAGCAAAACAAAGAAAACAUGAGAAAGAACUAACAUGAAAAACAUUAGUUUCCCCCUAUGUGACCUUCAUAGAAUUUCAUUCGAGAAAACAAAUCAUCAAGAACCAUAGCUAACACCAACAAACUAAUCCAAGUUCAUCUUCCUCAUUCAAAUAUUAGCAGUAAUCUUUAAAUCAUCCUUGAAGUGUAGUGUGUGAGAUAGUCAUGCUAAUGCAAUUUCAAGUUUUUAUUUUUAAAAUCAUCAUAUGCAAACUAGUAACCUUCUCACGGGAUAUGCACUCAAUCACACAUGUGUUUAGUUUUAAUGUGUUUCGCUCAAAGAAUCAAAUGUGAAAUUUCUACCAUAAGCUUGCAUAAAGAUCACUUCUCCACAGUCAUAAUUGCAAAACUUAAAUCAAGAGGACUUUUAUUGGAUGUAAUGAGGCUUAGGGAUAGGGUUAUUGAAACGAAAGAAUAGGAAAACACAAGUUCCAAGCUACAUUGCAAGCAAUUCUUUUGUUUAGAUUUAUAAGAACUCAAGUUCUCCAACGAUUCUUCUGAUACCUCCAAUCACACCCUUAAACUGAAACUUUAGAAACUUUUUAUUUUCUUUGUAUACAAUCUUUCUUUUUCUUUUUUUUUUUUUUUUUUUUUUUAAAUACAAACAUGAAAUACCCCCACACUUAUUCUUUUGCCAAACACCUUCAAAGUACUUCACAAACGUUUCUCAUAAGACAAUCUCACAUUGCUCACUAGCUUGCUUGGAAAGGGUAAGGAAAAAAAAAUGUUUCAGGUAUAAGGGUAGACAUAUCUGGUGAUAAGAAAUAAAAGGCUCAACAUAUACGGCUCAAAUUGGCAAUCUAAUGAUAUCAUUUUUCUUUGGAAAACAUGGUUAUUUGGGCCAUGGUGGUAAACCUAAUGCCUCUAUCAUUUCCAAGUUCAUGCAAUCAAUGACAAACAUUUCGAAAGAUCGUUACGCAAGUUCUAGAGAUGUAUCUCACAUAAGUUCAUCACACAUGAAAGAAUAGGAGUGUAUGAAAAAUGCACACACUUUCAAUAGGCUCAAAAACUCACAUAGGAUGUAUAUGGUCACUAAAUUCACAUAUGAAGCUUUAAGUCAUGCUUUAGUUUCACAUCAACAAGGCUAUGUGCAUUUGGUUUUUCAAAGAUGAUCAAACAUGUACAAAACUAAUACGAGAAUUAGGAAUUUCACAAAACACAUGUUAACUAAGUUCUUGAUGAUCAUGGUUCAAAUUUUAUCCAAUUAUAUCAUUGGGUCGGGAAACUAACAAAAAUCUAAUUCAAAACAAUAAGGAAAACAAGACAAUAUUUUUGGAUUUUUAAAUUUUCUGAUUUUUUUUUUUAAAGAAAACAAAACUAAUUAAGAAAACAAAAAGCAACAACACGGAAACAAAUGAAACCCGUUCGUAGUUGAAGGUACAAAAAAUUUCAAUUUGGUCAUUUUUUAUACUCUUUACCCCCAAACUUAAACUGGACAUUGUCCCCAAUGUCAGAAAACACUAUAAUGCAAAUAAAAAUAAAAUAAAUAAAUAAUAAGAAACAAAAUAAAGCAAUUGGACUGAAAACUUCCCUAAUUUGCAGUAAAAUCAAGCGAUGACCCCCAAGCUAGAAUUCUGCAAUCAACUUCAAGGGUUGAAAUAACCAAAAGUUCCUGCAAAGAAAAGAAAUAAUUCAGUUAAGGACGCAAGAAAAUGUAGAAAAAUGCAAACGAAAAAUUGAAAAUGAAAAUAAAAGAUAAUGAAUAGAACUAAUAGGUGAUCAUUGGUCGUGCUUGUUGACUUUCCACAGCUUUCCUCUUGAACGGGGUGACACUUAGCUUUUUACUUGCAAGUGAUGAUUUGAUGAUAUUGUACGGCGAAGCUUUGCUCUUUGGUGAUGUUGCAGUUCCUUAUUUGUUCUCCAAGCAGAUGUGGCAGCUUCUCUAGUUCCUCAGCUCGGACUCCUUCCGCUGGGAUGAUUGUGCAAGCUGCAUUCUUCUCUGCUUGUUUCUUCUGUACGUUGUCUCCACAUGCUGUUGGUAUCAUUUUCGCUUGCCUUAUCUGUUCUUCAGGUAGAUGUGGCAGCUUCUUUGGAAGUACAUCAGCAGUGGAAGACGAGUACUCGAGAGCAAUUUCUCCAUGUCCUGCAGGUUAGAACAAAGACAAGGAAAAGGACAUGGAGAAUGCAUGAUAUGAGAUACUCUUGCUUUUAACCAUUAUGAUAUGAAAUACUUUUGCUCUGGAUGGGUUGUUUGCAGGGGUAUCCCAGGGAAUGAGGAAUACAGUGUAACUUAGGAGGAUUCUUUGAGAAUGCAUUCUCGGAGAUGAAGAAGUGUUGAGAGGGUGUGUCUUUGCUGUGGAAGGCGAAUGUAGAUACUUAUAGGACUUGUCUUCACAACCGGAACUAUUCUCUCACGUAUUGUCGGCAGCCGGUGGAUGAAUAAAUAGUACAAAUUACGCGCUUUCUGACAAAGCUGCCCGUAAUUUCCGCAAAGCAGAUUCCUCAUUGAUAUCUGGAAUCGGCGCUUCGAGCUCUGAGCAUCGUCGAUUGUAGAGGUAGCAUGUGACACGUGCGGAUAAAUCUGGAAAAGAAGAUUUGCCCGUGGGUUGAAGCCCAGCUUUUGAGAAAGCUAGCGUGUCUUUGACUGUUGAAUUUCCCUCUUCGAUUUCUGAAUUGGUGCUUCGAAAAACUGCCCGAGAAUUUCGCAAAGCAAUUUGCGUGUGACAAGUGACGACACGUCAGGACAAAUUGAUCUUUUGAAAUCCGGGGUUCGGCUCUUGGUUUCUGAGCAAGCCCAGCCUUUAAGAAAUGAAACGCCACUUUUCAGAAAAGAAUCCGGCUUUUGAGAAAGGAGCCCCGCCUCUUCGAUUUGCGAGAGGACGCCCUUUUCAAUUUCUGAGGAGCGCCUCUUUGAUUUCUUCUUUUUAUAGAGGCGUUAAUUUUGUUCCACAACACACUUGAGCUCCCUCCUGUAAACACUCCCUUCUUGCACUUGUUUAAUCUUGAUCUGUCCGACUCUCUUCUUUCUUCACCACCUUCAGAAAAUGUCUGGCCCUUCCGAUCGCCGUUUUGACUUGAACCGUGGUGAAGAGGCAGCCCCGCCUUCACCAGACAACAUAUGGCGCCCAUCCUUCAUAUCCCCUACCGGUCCCCUUACCGUGGGGGAUUCGGUGAUGAAAAAUGACAUGACCGCUGCAGUGGUGGCCCGGAACCUUGUCACCCCCAGAGAUAACAGACUGCUCGCUAGGCGGUCUGAUGAAUUGGCGGUUAAGGAGUCUCUGGCUCUUAGCGUGCAGUGUGCGGGGUCUGUGUCCAACAUGGCCCAACGCCUAUUUGCUCGAACCCGUCACGUUGAAUCGUUAGUGGCUGAAAUUCAGAGUCUCAAGCAAGAGAUUAAAGGGCUUAAGCAUGAGAAUAAAGAGUUGCACAAGCUCGCACACAGCUAUGCCACCAGCAUGAAGAGGAAGAUUGACCAGAUGCAGGACACUGAUGGUCAAAUUUUACUGGAUCAUCGGAAGUUUGUGGGUCUGUUCCAACAACAUCUGCCUUCAUCUUCAGGAGCGGCAUCGCGUAGUGAAGCUCCAACUGAUCAACCUCUGCUGCCUCCUCCUUCUGUGGCCCCGCCGACUGCUGAAGCCCCGCCUACUGCUGAAGCACCACCCGACCAAUGAAUACUAUUAGUUUACAUCAUUGUAAAAUAUUUGUACUUUUUUUUUUUUUUUUUGUACUUUUUUUUUUCAUUAAUUUUAAAUUUUAUCUUUUUUUAUUUUUAUUUUUUAUAUAUAUGUAAAUUAAUGUAAAGAGACUUUAUCUACCCUAAACAAGAUUCACACGCAAGUAAACUAACAGUUAAUGAACUUAAACAAGGUAAAAUAAAUGCAGUAAAGAGAAGGGUUUAGGAAUGCAAAUCUGAUCAGAAAAAGAUUUGUUGAGCAAUUUCAAAGUCUCCCUUCGUUGAAUGCUUGGGUUGCCUCCCAAGAAGCGCUUGAUUUAACGUCUUUAGCCGGACGAAUCUUUCCUUUAAACUCCCCUCGGCUCCAAAGCAUGGAAUUUAUCUUUUAAUGGGAGGUGAUACUUGAAAUGAUUCGGCAAUGGUUUGAAUUCACGAGUGGGUGCCUGAAUUAUCAAAAUCAGAAAAAUGUUAGUAUAAAUAAAAAUUAAAAUUGGAGAAGAUGGCUUACUUUCUUUUUCCGGCACAAACUCAAUAAUAAACACCACAUUUUUGAACAUUUCCGGGACUUUGAACUUGGCCAGGUUUACUAUGAUGGUUGUGGCUUGUCCCGUGUCAUCAAACUCAACUGCUUUGGGCUUGAUUGUCUCAUGCACAGCCUCUUGGAUGUAUUCUUGAUAUGCUUCAACCACUUCAUUUUCUUGAAUCCCUUUUCUUGGUGUGCAAGGUUCUUUGAACGUUUCAAUACCAUCGGGAACUUGUUUUGGUGCACCAAGAAUUGGGAUAUCACUUUGCACCUUUGGAAGAGCUUCCACAAUGUCUUUUUCACUCUCUUUGAUAUUUGGAAUCAAAACCUGCAAGGACAAAGGACAUUCGGUGGAAUAAUGUUAGAAUGAAGUGAAUUUAGAACUUCCUCACCUGAGUUGGAUGACAUAGGGAUUUGAGGAGCUUGCAACAAGAAUUCUUCUAAACUGCCCAGGUCAUCCUCCUCCUCUUCUGCUUGCAGCAGCAAUUCAUCCAUGUUCGGGCUGUGUUUGGAUGGUUCUAGGACAGCUUCAUCCUUCAUGUCACAUUCCAAAGUGAUUACUUCAUCGAUUUCACUUUCUGCCUUUGAAUUUGCAAUGUUUGAGUUGGAAAGUUCACUUUGAUCUCGAAUCUGUGACAUGAAUUCCACAAUCUGCCCAACUUGCAUAUCCAAUUUGUCCAAUCUUUUGACUCGGUCUUGCAUCUCCUGGUUUUGAUUUUCUACUCCCUGAUUCAAAGAGGUGAGUAACUUAUUAAGUGUAUCAUUAUCCAAGGAUGUACCUGAAUUGAAUUGGGUUGAUUGUUGUGGUGGCUGUGACGGUUCAUAUGGCCACUGAUAGAACUCUUCUGAUGGCGGCAAUUGUUCUUCUUUUUGUGAACCCUGUAUCGAAGAAAUUAAUUCUUCAAGCAUUUGAUUAUAAUCCACGGGCAUACUUUGAUUCGAUUGGAAUUGUUGUGGGGGAUGCUGUGGUGGCUGUAUAGGUCUUGAAUAGAAUUCGUUUUGUUGCCAAUAUCCACUUUGUUGAAUUUGUUGAGGUUCAUCCCACAUAUAAUCUGAAUUUCCUCUCCAAUCUGAAUUGCAAACGUUGGAAAACAUGUUGCCCCUUGAUUGGUUAUAGCCUUGAUAUCCCCAAACAUCUUCAUUUGCAGAAAAUUGAGGACCUUGAUAUCCUUGCCCAUAGGGCACAUCAAGUGUAGGGACACUUAGCAUUGUGGUCCGUUCGGCAUUAUGAGUUAAUUGAGCAGUGAGCUGUGCCAAUAGAUCUUGAAUGCUAGUAGAAUCCAGGUCUUGCUCCAUUUGUACCUCAAUUCAAAGAAAGAAAAAUAAAUCAAAUAUCAAAAGUAAACAUACACAAACACAAUAAACAUAAGCAAAAACAAAAAUAAAAGGAUUAGCAAAGUUGCUAAUCCCCGGCAACGGCGCCAAAAUUUGAUGCGAAAAUUACUUGACAAACAAAUUAAACCCUCUUUUUGACAAUUGUAGUAUAGAUGUAAGUAGGGUAUCGUUCUAGGCCGGGGAUUAGGAGGGAUUGCUAAUCUAUUCUAAAUUAAUUUAGAAAUAUUAAACAAGACUCAAGGACACAAAACUAGGCUAAAAACUCUAAUAACUCGAAACACACGUAGAAUGACUCAAAAUAAUGGAAACAAUCAAAUUAGACACUAGGAAUUGAAAUGGACGGAAAUUGAAUUAAAAGACUAACAACAAUGAAAACUAACUAAAUAAUAUAAUUUAAUAAUGGGGGGGGUUGGUUUUGAUGAAAAGUAAAUUAAACUUAAAUAAAUUACAGAAUUGACAAAAACAUGAAAUUAAGGUGAAAGGAUAGGUGACGGACUAGCUAGAGGGUUCUUCUCCACACAUGACACAUAUGCAACCUAAAUUGAUUUUCAGUUGUUCUUUCAAUAAAUUGUAAAUCUCAAUACUCCAGAUUAACCGUGAACAACACUUUUUUAACCCUCAGUUUUUCCACAAGUUAUUGGGUUGGAUGAUUGCAUACGACAACCCAAACAUUCCCUACAAGUUCCCUACAUGAGUUGCAUAAUAGAGAUACAAGCAAGAAUCAUUAAGUUCUAUGAAAAACAUAAGCAUUGACGAGGCACUCGUUACUAUGAUUUGCAUGAAACUUAUGCCAAGAAUUUACUUAACGUGAUUGUGACUAGCAACCUUCACUACUUGUGAAUAUAAGUUCAUAACGAUUAGGUGAAAUUCACUUAUAUUCUAGCAUCAAAUUCAUGCAUGUAAAUUAAGUAUGCAUCCUUAAUCGACAUACAAAAAUAAGUUAUCAAUCAAGCAGUUAAGCAAAUUAAAUCACAACUCAGAAAUCACAACUGAAGGUAAUCAAUUCAUAUUACAUAUAUAUUCAUGGCUUUGAAUUAACCUCUAGCCAAAAUAAAUUUAAUUACACAUUAUUAAAACAAAAAUAAAAUAGAGAAGUUUGGAAAGAUUAAACCGAAAGGGGAUGAUCUGCUGCGUUCGUGCCCUCCUUAUUCUUGCUGUCCCGUACUGACUCUGACCUCCUUCUUUCCCGCAGCUCCUCGCAAGUCUUCACUCUGUCCAUCCUCCCCAUUCUCAUGCUGCCAAAUGGCAGCUUUCCUCUUGCUGACCUCUCUCGCCUGCCUUUCCCUUCUUGCGUACUGACCUCUCGCCUAUGCUGCCUUUUUUUCCUGUGCACUCACGCUGCCCUCUCACUGUCUUCUUCUGUCCUGCCUUCUGACCCGCUGUCUUCUUAUGUCCUGCCUUCUGACCUCGCUGCCAAAGGGCAGCCUUAUUCCGCGUCUCUUGCUUCUCUGUUCUAGUUUUCUGCUGCCGCAAGGCAGCUCUCCCCCCUUCCUUUCCGCGUUUCUUCUUCUUUUUAUAUUUUUCUUGUCAGUCAGUCCAUUCUGCUCCUUUAUGCCGUGUCCAUCCACUGCCCUCUCUUCUUCUUUUCUUUCUGUCCGCACUCAGUCCCGCACUACCUCUUUCAUUUUAUAUUUUUCUUUCUUUCCCAGCUGCUGUCCACUUCCUCCCGUACUGUCUUCCACUUCUCUCCCCGUGCUCCCUUCUGAUAUACGUUGGGGCUCCCACAAAGGCAUUCAGCCUAAAGCCCCAGAAAAGCCAUCUGUAUCCUUGAUAAACUGAAGAACAAGUGGAUGUUUUUUUUAUUCUGUAAUAAUGUUCUUUAUCUCGGUCCCUUUGGGUUAAUUGAAAUGAUGACUAUAACAGUAUAAUGUAUUAACACAUUAUGUCUUUACCCUUUCUCUUAUAUUCCCUUUUUUUUUAUUCUUCUCCAUCACUCUUUUGCUUUCCCGUACUCACCCCACCAUGCUAUCUUCUUUCUAUUUUUUAUUUUUAUUUUUUUUUCUUUUCUUUAUUCCUUUUGUCUUCUUUGUCUGCCAGUCUAUUUUCCACAUCCUGCUGCUUUUGUUUUUCUUUUCUGUUUAUUAUUUAAAACUCAUUUGUGCUAUUUUUAUUUUCUUUGCAUAACAAAUUC
rnacentral:lncRNA from 1 species